rnacentral:piRNA from 1 species
UGCAGAAUGAGAUGGAGGGAAGCAGG